rnacentral:lncRNA from 1 species
GCAGCCCUGGAGGAUGGUGAAUGAUAGAUACCUCGGAACCAUCAAAAUACUCCACAUUGUUACUGACAGCUCUGACAAACAGACUGCUAUCAGCUGAGUCCCAAAGGAUAGGUUAGCAGACCAACUGAUCCUCUACUGUGAACUUAUUUAUCAUCAUCAUUGUUUUCAAGAUCACGAAAUGGACAGUUCCCAAGGUAUCAGACUACUGAAGCAAAGAAGUACUUGAAAUGCUUGAGAGACUCUCAGAAAUUUGAGUGAUGUAUGGGGAGUGAAGGAGAGAUACUGUCUCAAUUGGCCUAUGCUAAGAUCUUUGGCAGAGUCAAAAAUUCCAUUGUUCUUGCGAAGAACAGAUCUGCCUCAGAUUUCAUGGAGUGCAGAAGAACAGAGAACCCUGAUGUGAUGUAAAUUGACCCAACAGCUGCUGAAUGUUGAAUUCUAACAAUACUUUAAAGAGCUGAAAUUGACUGAAUUCUUCUGGGAUGUUAAUAUUAAAACUGUAUGUAGGAUAAGCUAUGACAGGACUUGGCCACUGAAAAAUUAUAAGGAAUUUGAGAUAAUUUAGAAUUACAGAAUAAACUGUAGUUUUUAGAGGGGUGCA